GUGCACCAGGCGAGAAACUUUACAAUGUGCGAAAGCACGAUAAGGGAACUCUGAGUGCCUCCUAAGGAGGCUGUUCUGAUGUCUAAAAGCAACAGAAGUAAGGGCUGGGUAAGACCGGUGCCAGCCGCCGCGGUAACACCGGCAGCCCAAGUGGUAGCCACGUUUAUUGGGUCUAAAGCGUUCGUAGCCGGCCAGGUAAGUUCCUUGGUAAAUUUAGCCGCUUAACGGUUAAGCUUUCAGGGAAUACUGCUUGGCUUGGGACUGGGAGAGGUCAGAGGUACUCCGGGGGUAGGGGUGAAAUCUAUUAAUCCCUGGGGGACCACCGGUAGCGAAGGCGUCUGACCAGACCAGGUCCGACGGUGAGGGACGAAGGCUAGGGGCGCGAACCGGAUUAGAUACCCGCGUAG
rnacentral:rRNA from 1 species